CCACUGGCCCCACCCUUGGGAGGAGCAGACCCAGACCCUCUCACGGGGUAAUGGUUCUGGGGCCUGAGCCCAGCCCACUUGCAGCACCCCAGACAUCCUGACCUCUGCCUCACUGAGUGCGAUGGAUCAGAGGCCCAAGGAAGGACAACCGUUGUAGCCCACCGUGGUGGAAUAGGGCUCUAGGGCUGCUGUCUCGUCUUGGCCAGGCCCUGUGCUGUAAUGAUGUGGGGUGGAGGUUAACAGGAACAAACAGAACAGGACAGACCACCGCAGCUGUCUGGAAGGAAGUGAUCUUUUGGAAUAAGGUGCAGCGCUAUCGCCACCCCUCAACCCCGAUGGUGACUUCAUUCCCUGGUAACGGCUGAUCUCACACUCCGGGUAGCAUUGCCCUGGGAAGCUGCUGGGCAUGCCGAGGCAGUAGAGGUCAGGAGGCAACAUUGUCAUGAUCCGCUUCGAUAAUUAGCCUGGAAAAAGAAA
rnacentral:lncRNA from 1 species